UCAAAGGAACUCCAAAUUCUACAGCUAUUUUGUGAGCAACUCUUCAUUUUUCAUCGAAAUUCUACUGUUAUAUCAGCGGUUUAUUGUAACGCAUGCAAAGUUUAUGGUGUAAAAGGCCAAAUGCAGUGUCAUACGAGUUAAUGGUACCAGAUGGGUUGCGCAUAUGGUAAAUGCGUUGGAGAAUCUUCUCAAUGGUCUAAAAGCACAUAUUCAUAGUUAUACCACUAUCAGCUUGGAAAGCGACUACAGCACAACACAGAAAUCAAAGGCUAAGUUCUUUGCAAAGAAAUUGGUUGAUCAGCACUUAAUGUCGACGGCGAUCUAUAUUCUUGAUGUGUGUAGAGCAAUGACAAUUUUUUCAGAGGCAUUAGUAAG